rnacentral:rRNA from 1 species
AUACGUAGGGGGCGAGCGUUGUCCGGAAUGAUUGGGCGUACAGGGCGCGUAGGUGGCCGCUUAAGUCUGGAGUGAAAGUCCUGUUUUCAAGAUGGGAAUUGCUUUGGAUACUGGGGGGCUUGAGUGCAGGAGAGGUUAUCGGAAUUCCCGGUGUAGCGGUGAAAUGCGGAGAGAUCGGGGGGAGCACCAGUGGCGAAGGCGGGUUGCAAGACUGCACCUGAAUUUGAGGCGCCAACGUCUGGGGAGCAAACAGGAUGAGAUCCCAUGCCAGUCCACACUGUAAACGAGGAAUGCUAGGUGUAAGAGGUAUAGCGCCCGUUUGCGCCGGACGCAACACAAUAAGCGUUCAGCCUGGGGAGUUCGGGCGCAAGGUGGAAACUGAAAUCAAAUGACGGGG